rnacentral:rRNA from 1 species
GAUUAAGUUAUUAAGGGCGCACGGUGGAUGCCUUGGCACUAGAAGCCGAUGAAGGACGUUACUAACGACGAUAUGCUUUGGGGAGCUGUAAGUAAGCUUUGAUCCAGAGAUUUCCGAAUGGGGAAACCCAGCAUGAGUUAUGUCAUGUUAUCGAUAUGUGAAUACAUAGCAUAUCAGAAGGCACACCCGGAGAACUGAAACAUCUUAGUACCCGGAGGAAGAAAAAGAAAAUUCGAUUCCCUUAGUAGCGGCGAGCGAAACGGGAAGAGCCCAAACCAACAAGCUUGCUUGUUGGGGUUGUAGGACACUCUAUACGGAGUUACAAAGGACGACAUUAGACGAAUCAUCUGGAAAGAUGAAUCAAAGAAGGUAAUAAUCCUGUAGUCGAAAAUGUUGUCUCUCUUGAGUGG